GACGAGUGACAUUUAUGAAUCUACCUGCUUGUGGGGGAUAGCUCACGUGAAGCUCACAUUAAUUCCUCCCACAAACUACCGGUGAAAGGGGGCGCAAGCUCUUGCUAUCACAUGACCCUAAAUCAGAUUAGCUAGUUGUUGGUGUAAAGGCCCACCACGGCUACCAUCUGCAACUGUUCUGAGAUGAUGAUCAAUCACACCCAACCUGACUGACACUCCGGACUCCUACAGACUGCUACAGUGGGCAAUAUUGGACAAUGUUGGCAACCGUUGAUCCAGCCUUGCCGCGUGUGUCGAAGAAGGCCUUUUGGUUGUAAAGCACUUU
rnacentral:rRNA from 1 species